GACGAGGAGCUUGCUCCUCUGACGUUAGCGGCGGACGGGUGAGUAACACGUGGAUAACCUACCUAUAAGACUGGGAUAACUUCGGGAAACCGGAGCUAAUACCGGAUAAUAUAUUGAACCGCAUGGUUCAAUGGUGAAAGACGGUUUUGCUGUCACUUAUAGAUGGAUCCGCGCCGCAUUAGCUAGUUGGUAAGGUAACGGCUUACCAAGGCAACGAUGCGUAGCCGACCUGAGAGGGUGAUCGGCCACACUGGAACUGAGACACGGUCCAGACUCCUACGGGAGGCAGCAGUAGGGAAUCUUCCGCAAUGGGCGAAAGCCUGACGGAGCAACGCCGCGUGAGUGAUGAAGGUCUUCGGAUCGUAAAACUCUGUUAUUAGGGAAGAACAAAUGUGUAAGUAACUAUGCACGUCUUGACGGUACCUAAUCAGAAAGCCACGGCUAACUACGUGCCAGCAGCCGCGGUAAUACGUAGGUGGCAAGCGUUAUCCGGAAUUAUUGGGCGUAAAGCGCGCGUAGGCGGUUUUUUAAGUCUGAUGUGAAAGCCCACGGCUCAACCGUGGAGGGUCAUUGGAAACUGGAAAACUUGAGUGCAGAAGAGGAAAGUGGAAUUCCAUGUGUAGCGGUGAAAUGCGCAGAGAUAUGGAGGAACACCAGUGGCGAAGGCGACUUUCUGGUCUGUAACUGAC
rnacentral:rRNA from 1 species